AGGUGCCACUCUUGCCCUACCUGAGGAAUUCUCAGAGGAAAAGGACACUUCUGAGCACUGGGGACAUUGUCACUUACCAAAGAUGGAAGCAAUCAUCCCAGCUUUCUUUUGUCUGAUUCCUAAAUCACUCGGAUGGAGUUUCAUCAGGAAGGACUAAAUGCAAGCAGUUCCACUGAGUUGCAGAGGACCGUGUUCAGCAAACUACCCAUGUUUCUUUCCAGCUUGAGUAAGCAAAGAAUUGAUAAUAUGUGGCCUCACUGUAGCUGUGGCUUGGCUAGACAACGCUUAUUGCUAUUGAUUAACAUUUUUGUCGAGUAAUAGAAGCAAGCAGAGGCCAUUAUAGUAGGAAUGGAAGAAGAAGGUGAGAUGGAAGGCUUUGGGGGUGAAGGCCAGAGUGGCAGCAGGUUCCUUGCCCAGCUGCAGGGCUGCUGUCUGUCCUACAGGCCUAAUGGACAGCACCAGUCCCCUCCAUGGGCAGAGAGCAGUUGCAGAAUGAGGAAAGCCCAUUAUACUUUCCCAUACAGCUGUAAAACCCCUUGCAGGAUCCUGGUGCAGAGCAAGGCUUUCCCAGCUCACACAGCACUUGCACGCCAGCCCCUCGUCGGGAGGAACUUGGCAGUCCUCCACUUGGCAGAGCCAGCAGAGCACAGCCAAACUGCAGCAGCCAAGGAGGCCCUGCAUCUCGAAAUAACCAGGAAGGACUGGCCGGAGAUGCAUUGCUCUGAAGUGUAACUGAGCUUAUCAGAAGCCCUUCACCACUCCUGAAGUAGGUAAAGGUUGUUGCCUCUGCAGCUAUAAUGGUUGAGUGCAGGAAACUCAGGUAAGAUUUGGGAUCUAUGGGCUUUCUAAUCUUGCUAUUUUUGCAGGGCAGAAGCAUGUGUGUGCCUGGA